ensembl:lncRNA
AAUGGUAGAACAUGUAUUUAUGUUCUCUCAUUUCUAAUUAAAUCAUUUCUUAGAUACUUAACGAAGUGUCUGUGUGUGUUUACAGCUUUGCAGAUGAAUUUAGUCUUCUGAUUCAACUGCGGAGCUCACAAGAAGAGGACCGGAGUGUGUUGACUUUGCUGAACUUCUAUAAUCACAUUUUACUCCAGAUCCGUAUAGGCCCACACAGCAUCACCUUCAUCACCACACAGCAGCGUGACUAUGAGUUUUCAGUGUCAGGGCUGUCUGACUCGCAGUGGCACUGGAUCUCAGUUGGGGUUGCAUUUGAAUGGCUGGCUGUGUAUGUGGACUGUGUGCUGGUGGAGAAAGUGAGCUGGAUGUACCCGUACAUGGGCAUCACUACAGAUGGCCUGCUGAUGGUGGGGGGAAUCCUGGAGGGCUUUGAGACACCCUUUGAGGUAUUCUUCAUUUGUUAUAUGCAAGGAGGGUAUGGAAAGACGCAUAACUAUAGUCAGUGUCAAGAAUCCAUCAUGCCUGGGCAAACAGCCUUUCCUAAAGUCAUAAAUUAAACACUCUAAAUAUGUCUUACUACAACACAGUGGUGUAGAAGAAUGUUUAUUAAAGAAACUAGAGCUAUCCAGCUAAAGUAGCACUGGCAGUGUGUCAUGGGAAACAUAUGUAUGGCUGCCACACCAAUUUGCUUUUCAGCUGUGAAAACCAUCAUCUUAGUGACUUGCACUUAAAAAUGUAUGGUCACAAAACAGCAUGCCAAGAGUUUCAAUGGCACUGAAUGCCUAUAAAUGGAUUUUUAUCAUGCGACUGUGGUAUCAAGCUCACUAUUCAUCCCAAAU